GCCGUCCACAGAGCCGCCCGGUGAGGCCGGGAAGGGGAAAGGCCACUCGUGGGGACUUGAGUCCCUUCGGGAUCUCCGGUUCCUGCAGGUCCUCCUGGGACGCGCCAAAGGGAAGACAGCAGGAGAGCAGAAGUCUCCACUGGCAGGACUUCCCUCAGGAGCCUUCGCUUCUGGGAGCGGUUCUGAGUUACAGAAAAGAGAUCCCUCUGACUCCCAGCACGUCCCCUGCUGUGAACUCUCCUUUGCUGGCACAUUUGCUACAAGUGACAGACCUCGACGGACACGUGGUUAUUAGCUGGAGUCCGCAGUUUGUAUCAGGUUCUCUUGGUUUGGACGGGACACUCUGGGGUUUCCGUCAACGCUCCCCUUGCGGAGCCACCUCCCAGCUCUGACUCCCCACCUAGCAAUGCGACUUCAAGGCAAAUUCAACAGGGCUCUCCCAAUUUCCGGAGCCCCCAGAUACCCUGGCAACUGGACAGUUGGGAGAAAAUACACACACGUCUCUGCGUCGCAGAGUCUGGAAGACGGGCACGGCCCUGAGCCGGCCAGCUGCAGAGCAGAGGGCACUGUCUUGUAACCUGUCGGCAGCGCAGGUCGGACGCGGCGUCACGGCAACGUGCACAUUUGUGUUUUUCUUUUGCUUCUGUGAAAAUUCAGAGCAAAGUGACUUUUGUUACCAGGGGUGACUUCGGGGCCCCGGAGGCCCGCCCUGUGUGCGGAAGCACCCUCACUCUCACUCCAACCGUCUUCCUUUCAGGGCCCAUCACUGAAUGCACAUUUCUCCCCGACGACCUCGGUUUCAGAGCAAAUGCAAAUAAAAAGUGCUUAAAAUGGUUAA